rnacentral:rRNA from 1 species
CCAAUAGCGUAUAUUAAAGUUGUUGCAGUUAAAAAGCUCGUAGUUGAAUUUCGAGACUGGUUUACUGGUCGUGCUUUUGUACGUACUGGUAUUAUUGGUUUCUCCUUUCUGACGAAUCAUAAUGCCAUUAAUUUGGUGUUUUGGGGAAUCAGGACUGUUACUUUGAAAAAAUUAGAGUGUUUAAAGCAGGCUCACGCUUG